CCCCCAUGGCGCCCCCGAAGGCUCCGGUCCUGUUCGUGUCCUGGAUUUCAUUGCGUGGCUCCGGCUCACGCUCCGCCACUAAUUCUGCCGCCGCGGACGCCAGCUUGCCUGAAAUUUGGAAGAACCAAUAAGUCUCAAUGCAGUCACGAAUUCGGAAC